rnacentral:rRNA from 1 species
GACGAACGCUGGCGGCGUGCUUAACACAUGCGAGUCGAACGGAAAGGCCCUGCUUUUGUGGGGUGCUCGAGUGGCGAACGGGUGAGUAACACGUGAGUAACCUGCCCUUGACUUUGGGAUAACUUCAGGAAACUGGGGCUAAUACCGGAUAGGAGCUCCUGCUGCAUGGUGGGGGUUGGAAAGUUUCGGCGGUUGGGGAUGGACUCGCGGCUUAUCAGCUUGUUGGUGGGGUAGUGGCUUACCAAGGCUUUGACGGGUAGCCGGCCUGAGAGGGUGACCGGCCAAAUUGGGACUGAGAUACGGCCCAGACUCCUACGGGAUGCAGCAGUGGGGAAUAUUGCACAAUGGGCGGAAGCCUGAUGCAGCAACGCCGCGUGCGGGAUGACGGCCUUCGGGUUGUAAACCGCUUUCGCCUGUGACGAAGCGUGAGUGACGGUAAUGGGUAAAGAAGCACCGGCUAACUACGUG